AGCCAUCAGACUGGAUCUCUUUUUUGGGGAUUCGGUUUGGAUAUGGGUUUUGCUGGCUAUUUUUGCCAGCUGACCUGAAAUGCAUUCGUAGUCGUGUUAUCUACAUACUUCAGUGUGAUAAGUAUCAGUCGCUGAAGUGUUAGAACGACUGUUUUUGUUUAAGUG
rnacentral:misc_RNA from 1 species